CCGCAGCGGGGCCGCCCAGGCUAGACCAGGCCGGGCCGGGCCGCGCCCGGCGCGCCGAGACCCUCCGUGGAGACCCUGCCCCAGGCACUUUGCAGGGCGCAUGCGCGUGCUCCGGGGUUUCGCUCCUAACUCAGCGGGGGGCCCUUUGCCCUCUGGCUGCCCGCCCGGCUGAGUCCUCCAUGCGCCUGCGCGUCAGCGGGACUGUCUGGGGAGAGCAGCUCCCCCCGCCAGGACGGCAUCCCCACCCCCACCCCCGCCCCCGUCCCCGCCCGGCCCGGGAAGGAGCAGGGGCAGCCCGGAGCGCGGAGAGCGGCCAGAGAAUCUCAUUUGCAUACCCACAGUGCAUUGCGCGCAGGGAAGCGAGUCCCUGGUCAAGGGGCUCGCUUUGCUCCCAAUAACCCCGGUUCCGAUGAUCCAACUCGGGACUUGACUCGGUUCAAUUACAUGUCCUCUAAAAGCGAGAGGUUUAGCGGGCUGUCAGUGCAGUCACCGUGAGGUAAGAAGAACACGCUGUUGCCCUGGUAGCGCCUCUGCACCACAUCGUUUGUACUCUGGUUUUUCUUCAGAUCGUAUAAAUCUUUCGCCUUUUACUAAAGAUUUCCGUGGAGAGAAACAAUCACGAGUUUCUAUCCAAUUUUUUGAAGCUUCAUUUAGGUGAGGCUGUUUUGUGUGAUACAAAAGACAGAAUUGUUGUUAAACUUGGAUUUCCUGUAAGAAGACCAGAAUGGGUCAGACCAAUGGUCCAUCUAGCCCAGUGGAGUGUACAGAACAGGACAAUUUGGAGUGAUCCACCCUUACCUUCCACUCCUGGUCUUUGUGUUGUCAGGGAUGUAGGAUUUGCCUCAAGCGUGGGAUUGCAUCACUGACCAGCUUCACUAAUAACUCUUGAUGGACCUGGUCUCAAUUAACUUAUCUCAUUCUCUGUGGAAGCCAGUUAUACUUUUUGUCCUCACAACAUACCAUGGCAAAGAGUUCUGCACAUUAAUUUAGUCAGAUGGGUCCCGCUCACCUUUACUAUAUUGUGGGAAAAGUUACUGAUCCAUGAGAGGGCUCGAGCCAUCUGGAGUAGCUUGUGACUGUGAGUGCCAACCUCAGGGUAAACUGUUAAGAAGCAGAGCACAAUCCCCAAAUUGGUUGUGUGUUCUAUGUUUAGAUUUCACCAAGUAUCAGAUUAUGUAUUAUGUGCCUUUUAUGACUUUUUAAACCAAACUUGUUAUUUUUGGAUAAUUUAAGCAUUAUAUGCA